AUUGUUAAUGCUUCUAUAUGAUCAUCAUAUAGAUCCAUUACCAAUGUCGCGGGCAUGCGAGGGAUUAUAUUUAUUUUGUAAGGAACUUAACAGUUCAAUGU